CGGAAGAGGCUAAAACAAAUAGAGCCUUUAGUUGGAACCAGGGCAUGCGGACGAGGUGCUGGGAGCGAACUAAAUGGAACUAAAGAGCAGUAAAUGUCAGAAUAAGGACAGUGCAGGUGUCAGAGGUUUGCACUCCAGAAGUGGAUAUACCAGUAAAGAUGUGCCGUUCAUACCUGCCUGGAGGAUGUGAGUGCACAAUCGGAGGACAGGGUGUCAGUCUUUGGUUCAAGUUGGUCUUAACACUUUCAUGUAGUUCAUCUGCAGACCAGGGCACAUGAUGGCUGUGAUGAACCCUCGCCCUCUCUGCCCAUAACAGAGAGCUGCUAGACCGAGAAGGCAGAGACAGAUGAUGAUGGCACAGACAGCUGAGAAUCGGACAGAUUAAAUAUGCAUUUAAAAGUAGAUGAAGCUGCUGCUCUAAAUGGCAGGAAAUGGGAAGCUAAUCUCUCACGUCUGCUGCUGGAUCUCUGUGAAAAAUCUGCCCCAUCUCCAGGCUAAUAACCUUUCUUCCACUGAGACAUCAAAUGGACACGAACACGUCCUUCUCAUGCAGCACAGGGACAGCAGCUGCACAGCCGAGAGGCGGAUGGCGGAGCAGCACUGUGCACAGUAACAGUGGUUAGCUAGGAGUCUGGUAGCAGGUCCAGGCUGUGCGAGGCAGGAGAAACAUGACAUACAACAGGCUGCGCUGGCAAAUGGUAACAAAUCUCUCUGACAAGUGAUGGUAAAUGUUUCAUCAAUGCUGAACAGUAUAUUUGUGUUAAUAAUAGCUUCUGGAAAAGUUACAAGCAUAAAUAUUUGUAAUAUAUGACUUUUAC